CCUACGGGAGGCUGCAGUGAGGAAUAUUGGUCAAUGGGCGUAAGCCUGAACCAGCCAAGUCGCGUGCGGGAUGAAGGUUCUAUGGAUUGUAAACCGCUUUUAUAAGGGAAUAAAGUGUGGGACGUGUCCUAUUUUGUAUGUACCUUAUGAAUAAGGAUCGGCUAAUUCCGUGCCAGCAGCCGCGGUAAUACGGAGGGUCCGAGCGUUAUCGGGAUUUAUUGGGUUUAAAGGGUGCGUAGGCGGCCUUUUAAGUCUGCGGUGAAAGUCUGUGGCUCAACCAUAGAAGUGCCGGGGAAACUGGGGGGCUUGAGUACGCUGGAGGUAGGCGGAAUUAGUGGUGUAGCGGUGAAAUGCUUAGAUAUCACGAAGAACCCCGAUUGCGAAGGCAGCCUACGGCGCCAUGACUGACGCUGAUGCACGAAAGCGUGGGUAUCGAACAGGAGUAGAUACCCGUGUAGUC
rnacentral:rRNA from 1 species